rnacentral:lncRNA from 1 species
AGGAUGUACUUAAUAUAAAUAUUUAGCUUACAUUAUUUAAUAGAAAUCUCUGGUUCAUAAUCACUUUAUGAUUGUAUAAACAAAAUACAAAGGGUAACAAAAUACGUACUGCUGAAAAAUUGUCAUAUUUUCCUCUUUUUUCUAUCUUUUAUGAGUAAUUUUCUUUCUUAUCUAUCAAAUGUACGGAACAAUUGAUUUCUGAUAUAGGUUAAUCUUUUGAAGGUUACACAUCUCUAACUUGUUUAUUUUGUCACUCUAUUCAUCUGUGUUUCCUCUUAUUUUCAAUUUUAUUUAUGCAUCACCAAUGAUUAUGAUAGGGUUUUUCGUAUUGUUUUGAUGAGAUUGAGGUGUUUGUUAGGAUUAUGAGGAUCUCACAAUAAUAAAGUUGGUGCAAAUGUAACACUAGAUAAUUGAUUCGGUUGGUUUCCUUUAAUACAUACGGUCUCAUUUUCAUUGUCUUGUAAUUAUUCUUUUUCCUUUUUUUCUUUUUCAUUUUCUUGUAAUUAUUCUUUUUUCUUUUUUUCUUUUUCAUUUUCUACUUAUAAUUAGUAUUUUAGCAUAUUUUUAAUCUAUAUAACUUAUGUUAAUCGUUUAAUUAUCAUAAUAUAGAAGAUGACAUUUUAUGUUCUUUAGGAUAUAAGUAUAUAUUUAAUUAAUUUUGAUGUUCAAUACAUAUCUUUCUAAAUUAAUUAAUGUCAUGGUUUGUUACUCAUUAAAUGUUUGAAUGAUUUAUAGAAUUGAGGAUUUAUUAAUAUAAAUAUUUAGCUUGCAAUAUUUAAUAGAAAUCUCUGGUACAUAACCACUUUAUGAUUGUAUAAACAAAAUACAAAGGGUAAAAAAAUACGUACUGCUGAAAAAUUGUCAUAUUUUCCUUUUUUUUCUAUCUUUUAUGAGUAAUUUUCUUUCUUAUCUAUCAAAUGUACGGAACAAUUGAUUUCUGAUAUAGGUUAAUCUUUUGAAGGUUACACAUCUCUAACUUGUUUAUUUUGUCACUCUAUUCAUCUGUGUUUCCUCUUAUUUUCAAUUUUAUUCUUGCAUCACCAAUGAUUAUGAUAGUGUUUUUCGUAUUGUUUUGAUGAGAUUGAGAUGUUUGUUAGGAUUAUGAGGAUCUCACAAUAAUAAAGUUGGUGCUAAUGUAACACUAGAUAAUUGAUUGGGUUGGUUUCCUUUAAUACAUACGGUCUCAUUUUCAUUGUCUUGUAAUUAUUCUUUUUUCUUUUUUUCUUUUUCAUUUUCUUGUAAUUAUUCUUUUUUCUUUUUCAUUUUCUUGUAAUUAUUCUUUUUUCUUUUUUUAUUUUUGAUUUUCUACUUAUAAUUACUAUUUUAGCAUAUUUUUUAAUCUAUAUAACUUAUGUUAAUCGUUUACUUAUCAGAAUAUAGAAGAUGACAUUUUAUGUUCUUUAGGAUAUAAGUAUAUAUUUAAUUAGUUUUGAUGUUCAAUACAUAUCUUUCUAAAUUAAUUAAUGUCAAGGUUUGUUACUCAAUAAAUGUUUGAUUGAUUUAUAUCAUUCAGGAUUUACUUAAUAUAAUCAUUUAGCUUACAAUAUUUAAUAGAAAUCUCUGGUUCAUAAUCACUUUAUGAUUGUAUAAACAAAAUACAAAGGGUAAAAAAAUACGUACUGCUAAAAAAUUGUCAUAUUUUCCUCUUUUUUUCUAUCUUUUAUGAGUAAUUUUCUUUCUUAUCUAUCAAAUGUACGGAACAAUUGAUUUCUGAUAUAGGUUAAUCUUUUGAAGGUUACACAUCUCUAACUUGUUAAUUUUGUCAUUCAUUCAUCUGUGUUUCCUCUUAUUUUCAAUUUUAUUCUUGCAUCACCAAUGAUUAUGAUAGGGUUUUUCAUAUUGUUUUGAUGAGAUUAAGAUGUUUGUUAGGAUUAUGAGGAUCUCACAAUAAUAAAAAUUCUUGCAUCACCAAUGAUUAUGAUAGGGUUUUUCAUAUUGUUUUGAUGAGAUUAAGAUGUUUGUUAGGAUUAUGAGGAUCUCACAAUAAUAAAGUUGGUGCUAAUGUAACACUAGAUAAAUGAUUCGGUUGGUUUCCUUUAAUACAUACGGUCUCAUUUUCAUUGUCUUGUAAUUAUUCUAUUUUCUUUUUUUCUUUUUCAUUUUCUUGUAAUUAUUCUUUUUUCUUUUUUUCUUUUUCAUUUUUUACUUAUAAUCUAUAUAACUUAUGUUAAUCGUUUAAUUAUCAUAAUAUAGAAGAUGACAUUUUAUGUUCUUUAGGAUAUAAGUAUAUAUUUAAUUAAUUUUGAUGUUCAACACAUAUCUUUCUAAAUUAAUUAAUGUCAUGGUUUGUUACUCAUUAAAUGUUUGAAUGAUUUAUAUAAUUGAGGAUUUACUUAAUAUAAAUAUUUAGCUUGCAAUAUUUAAUAGAAAUCUCUGGUACAUAAUCACUUUAUGAUUGUAUAAACAAAAUACAAAGGGUAAAAAAAUACGCACUGCUGAAAAAUUGUCAUAUUUUCCUUUUUUUUCUAUCUUUUAUGAGUAAUUUUCUAUCUUAUCUUUCAAAUAUACAGAACAAUUGAUUUCUGAUAUAGGUUAAUCUUUUGAAGGUUACACAUCUCUAACUUGCUUAUUUUGUCACUCUAUUCAUCUGUGUUUCCUCUUAUUUUCAAUUUUAUUCUUGCAUCACCAAUGA